rnacentral:rRNA from 1 species
UACGUAGGGGGGCAAGCGUUGUCCGGAUUUAUUGGGCGUAAAGAGCGUGUAGGCGGCCAGAUAGGUCCGUUGUGAAAACUCGAGGCUCAACCUCGAGACGCCGAUGGAAACCAUUUGGCUAGAGUCCGGAAGAGGAGAGUGGAAUUCCUGGUGUAGCGGUGAAAUGCGCAGAUAUCAGGAAGAACACCCGUGGCUAAGGCGGCUCUCUAGUACGGUACUGACGCUG